rnacentral:rRNA from 1 species
UACGUAGGGGGCAAGCGUUGUCCGGAUUUAUUGGGCGUAAAGAGCGUGUAGGCGGCCAGGUAGGUCGGUUGUGAAAACUCGAGGCUCAACCUCGAGAUGUCGACCGAAACCAUCUGGCUAGAGUCCGGAAGAGGAGAAUGGAAUUCCCGGUGUAGCGGUGAAAUGCGCAGAUAUCGGGAAGAACACCCGUGGCGAAGGCGGUUCUCUGGGACGGUACUGACGCUGAGACGCGACAGCGUGGGGAGCAAACAGG